AAAAUACUUCUAAACACCCUCUCUUCUCUCUAAAAAAUCUCUACCAUUUUAUAGAACUCCGGUCCUCUUCCCCGACGAGCCGUCGCCGCCUUGCCGCUACUCAAGCCACCCCUCCGGCCAUCAUGGAUGGUGGCUAGAGAACGAUGACCUAGCCCAUCCAAAAGCCCUCACUGCCUUGAACCUAAAUCUACCCACUAAAAUCCCAAAAGGAGGCCUUCACCAUAUAUAUAAACCGAAAGUUCACUCCCUUUACCUUUCAUCCAGUGUCCCUUUGAUUUCCAAGCAGUCUUUCGAGCUCCCGACGGUGUCUCUUCUCCCAUGACAAUGAAAGCUUUCGAAUCUAAGAAUUUAUAGUGCAUGUGGAGGAUUUCUGUCCUUCGAAAAUUAAAGGAUUAAUUCACAUAAUCCAAGGGAAUGAUUUUGAUUUAUUUCUCUUUUCAUUCGAUUUGUCUCUAAUAUGGUGAUUUGUCUCCUUUUUAGUUCGAUUUUUGUUGACUGUUUCAUUUCCCUUAAUUUGGUUUUUGCUUUGA